rnacentral:rRNA from 1 species
GACGAACGCUGGCGGCGUGCCUAAUACAUGCAAGUAGAACGCAGUGGGGACGGGUGAGUAACACGUGGGUAACCUCCCAUCAGAGGGGAUAACACUUGGAAACAGGUGCUAAACCGAUACUGAUGGAUGGACCCGCGGUGCAUUAGCUAGUGGGGGGGGUAACGGCUCACCAAGGCCACGAUGCAUAGCCGACCUGAGGGGGUGAUCAGCCACACUGGGACUGAGACACGGCCCAGACUCCUACGGGAGGCAGCAGUGGGGAAUCUUGGGCAAUGGACGAAAGUCUGACCGAGCAACGCCGCGUGAGUGAAGAAGGUUUUCGGGUCGUAAAACUCUGUUGUUAGGGAAGCGUUAUCUAACCAGAAAGCCACGGCUAACUACGUGCCAGCAGCCGCGGUAAUAC